rnacentral:rRNA from 1 species
GCUGUGAACUCGAAGAGUAGGGCGGGACACGUGGUAUCCUGUCUGAAUAUGGGGGGACCAUCCUCCAAGGCUAAAUACUCCUGACUGACCGAUAGUGAACCAGUACCGUGAGGGAAAGGCGAAAAGAACCCCGGCGAGGGGAGUGAAAAAGAACCUGAAACCGUGUACGUACAAGCAGUGGGAGCCUCUUUAUGGGGUGACUGCGUACCUUUUGUAUAAUGGGUCAGCGACUUAUAUUCUGUAGCAAGGUUAACCGUAUAGGGGAGCCGAAGGGAAACCGAGUCUUAACUGGGCGUUAAGUUGCAGGGUAUAGACCCGAAACCCGGUGAUCUAGCCAUGGGCAGGUUGAAGGUUGGGUAACACUAACUGGAGGACCGAACCGACUAAUGUUGAAAAAUUAGCGGAUGACCUGUGGCUGGGGGUGAAAGGCCAAUCAAACCGGGAGAUAGCUGGUUCUCCCCGAAAGCUAUUUAGGUAGCGCCUCGUGAACUCAUCUUCGGGGGUAGAGCACUGUUUCGGCUAGGGGGCCAUCCCGGCUUACCAACCCGAUGCAAACUACGAAUACCGAAGAAUGUUAUCACGGGAGACACACGGCGGGUGCUAACGUCCGUCGUGAAGAGGGAAACAACCCAGACCGCCAGCUAAGGUCCCAAAGUCAUGGUUAAGUGGGAAACGAUGUGGGAAGGCACAGACAGCCAGGAUGUUGGCUUAGAAGCAGCCAUCAUUUAAAGAAAGCGUAAUAGCUCACUGGUCGAGUCGGCCUGCGCGGAAGAUGUAACGGGGCUAAACCAUG